CAGUCGAGCGAACAGAUGAGAAGCUUGCUUCUCUGAUGUUAGCGGCGGACGGGUGAGUAACACGUGGGUAACCUACCUAUAAGACUGGGAUAACUCCGGGAAACCGGGGCUAAUACCGGAUAAUAUUUUGAACCGCAUGGUUCAAUAGUGAAAGACGGUUUCGGCUGUCACUUAUAGAUGGACCCGCGCCGUAUUAGCUAGUUGGUAAGGUAACGGCUUACCAAGGCGACGAUACGUAGCCGACCUGAGAGGGUGAUCGGCCACACUGGAACUGAGACACGGUCCAGACUCCUACGGGAGGCAGCAGUAGGGAAUCUUCCGCAAUGGGCGAAAGCCUGACGGAGCAACGCCGCGUGAGUGAUGAAGGUCUUCGGAUCGUAAAACUCUGUUGUUAGGGAAGAACAAAUUUGUUAGUAACUGAACAAGUCUUGACGGUACCUAACCAGAAAGCCACGGCUAACUACGUGCCAGCAGCCGCGGUAAUACGUAGGUGGCAAGCGUUAUCCGGAAUUAUUGGGCGUAAAGCGCGCGUAGGCGGUUUCUUAAGUCUGAUGUGAAAGCCCACGGCUCAACCGUGGAGGGUCAUUGGAAACUGGGAAACUUGAGUGCAGAAGAGGAGAGUGGAAUUCCAUGUGUAGCGGUGAAAUGCGCAGAGAUAUGGAGGAACACCAGUGGCGAAGGCGGCUCUCUGGUCUGUAACUGACGCUGAUGUGCGAAAGCGUGGGGAUCAAACAGGAUUAGAUACCCUGGUAGUCCACGCCGUAAACGAUGAGUGCUAAGUGUUAGGGGGUUUCCGCCCCUUAGUGCUGCAGCUAACGCAUUAAGCACUCCGCCUGGGGAGUACGACCGCAAGGUUGAAACUCAAAGGAAUUGACGGGGACCCGCACAAGCGGUGGAGCAUGUGGUUUAAUUCGAAGCAACGCGAAGAACCUUACCAAAUCUUGACAUCCUUUGACCGCUCUAGAGAUAGAGUCUUCCCCUUCGGGGGACAAAGUGACAGGUGGUGCAUGGUUGUCGUCAGCUCGUGUCGUGAGAUGUUGGGUUAAGUCCCGCAACGAGCGCAACCCUUAAGCUUAGUUGCCAUCAUUAAGUUGGGCACUCUAGGUUGACUGCCGGUGACAAACCGGAGGAAGGUGGGGAUGACGUCAAAUCAUCAUGCCCCUUAUGAUUUGGGCUACACACGUGCUACAAUGGAUAAUACAAAGGGCAGCGAAUCCGCGAGGCCAAGCAAAUCCCAUAAAAUUAUUCUCAGUUCGGAUUGUAGUCUGCAACUCGACUACAUGAAGCUGGAAUCGCUAGUAAUCGUAGAUCAGCAUGCUACGGUGAAUACGUUCCCGGGUCUUGUACACACCGCCCGUCACACCACGAGAGUUUGUAACACCCGAAGCCGGUGGAGUAACCUUUUAGGAGCUAGC
rnacentral:rRNA from 1 species